rnacentral:tRNA from 1 species
GCCGGCGUGGCACAACCUGGUACUGCGCAAGCCUGGAAUCAAGGACAAAAAGCUUGUUUCCGAAAGGAUUUCCCGGUUCAAAUCCGGGCGUCGGCG